rnacentral:rRNA from 1 species
AACGAACGCUGGCGGCAGGCUUAACACAUGCAAGUCGAGCGCAUCCUUCGGGGUGAGCGGCAGACGGGUGAGUAACGCGUGGGAAUCUACCUUUUGCUACGGAAUAGCUCCGGGAAACUGGAAUUAAUACCGUAUGUGCCCUUAGGAGGAAAGAUUUAUCGGCAAGAGAUGAGCCCGCGUUGGAUUAGCUAGUUGGUGGGGUAAAGGCCUACCAAGGCGACGAUCCAUAGCUGGUCUGAGAGGAUGAUCAGCCACAUUGGGACUGAGACACGGCCCAAACUCCUACGGGAGGCAGCAGUGGGGAAUAUUGGACAAUGGGCGCAAGCCUGAUCCAGCCAUGCCGCGUGAGUGAUGAAGGCCUUAGGGUUGUAAAGCUCUUUCACCGGAGAAGAUAAUGACGGUAUCCGGAGAAGAAGCCCCGGCUAACUUCGUG